rnacentral:rRNA from 1 species
UCAAGAGUACGUGAAACCGUUCAGGGGUAAACGGGAGAAAUCCUGAAUUCGAAAGGGGUCUUGGAUUCAAUGCCUACCGAGUGAAACUGGGACGGCCUCUCCAGAUGGCGCCGGUCGCCCGCAGCGAUUCAUUUCGUUUGCGGUGUCGAUACCGGCGAUCACUCGGAGAGGAUCCGUAUGCCCGGCGCCGGAGGAGUGCACUUCCCCCCUAGUAGAAACGUCGCGACCCGUUGGGUGCCGGUCUAAGGCCCGGGGUGGCAGCCCAUGUGUCCUGUGGGUGAUCCCACAGGCGUGUGGACCCCUGGUGUCCCGGCCGGCUGCUCGACGGUAUGACCAGAGGAGUCGAUCCGCUGAAUGUGAAACACUGUGGUUGUGUAGCCGUCCGAGCCCAUCUGCCGGAUGCGUACGUAGUUGUCAACCCGGUGUAGAGCAUGGGCUGCGCUGGCGUCUUCGGAGGUUGGUGAACCUCGGACCGGAUCAGAACUCCCGUCUGCGACGCCCACCUUCGGAUGGUC